GACAGAGGGUGCAAACGUUGUUCGGAAUUACUGGGCGUAAAGCGCGUGUAGGCGGCUCUGCAAGUCGGAUGUGAAAUCCCACGGCUCAACCAUGGAAGUGCAUUCGAAACUGCAGGGCUAGAGUCCUGGAGAGGAAGGUGGAAUGCUUGGUGUAGAGGUGAAAUGCGCAGAUAUCAGGAGGAACACCGGUGGCGAAGGCGGAUCUCUGGGCCUUACCUGACGCUGAGGCGCGAAAGCUAGGGGAGCAAACAGG
rnacentral:rRNA from 1 species